UGCAAGUCGAGCGGACAGAUGGGAGCUUGCUCCCUGAUGUUAGCGGCGGACGGGUGAGUAACACGUGGGUAACCUGCCUGUAAGACUGGGAUAACUCCGGGAAACCGGGGCUAAUACCGGAUGGUUGUUUGAACCGCAUGGUUCAAACAUAAAAGGUGGCUUCGGCUACCACUUACAGAUGGACCCGCGGCGCAUUAGCUAGUUGGUGAGGUAAUGGCUCACCAAGGCAACGAUGCGUAGCCGACCUGAGAGGGUGAUCGGCCACACUGGGACUGAGACACGGCCCAGACUCCUACGGGAGGCAGCAGUAGGGAAUCUUCCGCAAUGGACGAAAGUCUGACGGAGCAACGCCGCGUGAGUGAUGAAGGUUUUCGGAUCGUAAAGCUCUGUUGUUAGGGAAGAACAAGUACCGUUCGAAUAGGGCGGUACCUUGACGGUACCUAACCAGAAAGCCACGGCUAACUACGUGCCAGCAGCCGCGGUAAUACGUAGGUGGCAAGCGUUGUCCGGAAUUAUUGGGCGUAAAGGGCUCGCAGGCGGUUUCUUAAGUCUGAUGUGAAAGCCCCCGGCUCAACCGGGGAGGGUCAUUGGAAACUGGGGAACUUGAGUGCAGAAGAGGAGAGUGGAAUUCCACGUGUAGCGGUGAAAUGCGUAGAGAUGUGGAGGAACACCAGUGGCGAAGGCGACUCUCUGGUCUGUAACUGACGCUGAGGAGCGAAAGCGUGGGGAGCGAACAGGAUUAGAUACCCUGGUAGUCCACGCCGUAAACGAUGAGUGCUAAGUGUUAGGGGGGUUUCCGCCCCUUAGUGCUGCAGCUAACGCAUUAAGCACUCCGCCUGGGGAGUACGGUCGCAA
rnacentral:rRNA from 1 species